rnacentral:rRNA from 1 species
UACGUAGGCAGCAAGCGUUGUUCGGAGUUACUGGGCGUAAAGAGUGCGUAGGCGGUCCUGUAAGUUUGGUGUGAAAUCUCCCGGCUCAACUGGGAGGGUGCGCCGAAGACUGCAGGGCUUGAGUAUGGGAGAGGUAAGCGGAAUUCCUGGUGUAGCGGUGAAAUGCGUAGAUAUCAGGAGGAACACCGGUGGCGAAGGCGGGUCUCUGGGCCGUAACUGACGCUGAGGAGCGAAAGCGUGGGGAGCGAACAGG